rnacentral:snRNA from 1 species
AUUUUUUUAAAAAUUGGAACGAUAUAGAGAAGAUUAUCAUGGCCCCUGCGCAAGGAUGACGCAAAUUCGUGAAGCGUUCCGUAUUAAA